CUUGAAACACGGACCAAGGAGUCUAGCGUGUGCGCGAGUCAUUGGGUGUAAAACCUAAAGGCGCAAUGAAAGUGUCAGGAGGGGCUCCUUUAGGAGCGCUCUCCGUAGGGAGGAUGUGGUUCCGCACACGUAUAUAUUUAUGGUCGGAUCACCGCACUCCCGGGGCGUCUCGUUCUCGUUACGAGUGGAGACGCACCAGGAGCGCACACGCUGGUACCCGAAAGAUGGUGAACUAUGCCUGGCCAGGACGAAGCCAGGGGAAACCCUGGUGGAGGUCCGAAGCGAUUCUGACGUGCAAAUCGAUCGUCUGAGCUGGGUAUAGGGGCGAAAGACCAAUCGAACCAUCUAGUAGCUGGUUCCCUCUGAAGUUUCCCUCAGGAUAGCUGGCUCUCGGGAAGAGACGAGUCUCAUCCGGUAGAGCGAAUGAUUAGAGGUGAUGGGGUCGAAACGACUUCAACCUAUUCUCAAACUCCCAAUAGAUGAGAGCCCCGGCUUGCUUAAAAGUGAAGCCGAGGGACUCGGAUCAGAGAUGCCAAGUGGGCCAAUUUUGGUAAGCAGAACUGGCGCCUUUGGG
rnacentral:rRNA from 1 species